UUCCAGUGCUGAGUUCAGGGCAGGCCAGCUUUCCUGGUCUAUUAAUUAAACUUUGGGACAUUGAAACUGGCUAAGGGAGAUGACUGAAUCUUCUAUUCUGGUAACUUUCCUUUUAGCCAAAAAUA
ensembl:snoRNA